GUGGGGCGUGCUUACACAUGCAGUCGAACGAUGACGACCGAGCUUGCUCGGUCUGAUUAGUGGCGAACGGGUGAGUAACACGUGAGCAACCUGCCCUUCACUCUGGGAUAACCUCGGGAAAUCGGGGCUAAUACCGGAUAUGAGCUCCUGUCGCAUGGCGGGGGUUGGAAAGUUUUUCGGUGAAGGAUGGGCUCGCGGCCUAUCAGUUUGUUGGUGAGGUAGUGGCUCACCAAGGCGAUGACGGGUAGCCGGCCUGAGAGGGCGACCGGCCACACUGGGACUGAGACACGGCCCAGACUCCUACGGGAGGCAGCAGUGGGGAAUAUUGCACAAUGGGCGAAAGCCUGAUGCAGCGACGCCGCGUGAGGGAUGACGGCCUUCGGGUUGUAAACCUCUUUCAGCAGGGAAGAAGCGAAAGUGACGGUACCUGCAGAAGAAGCGCCGGCUAACUACGUGCCAGCAGCCGCGGUAAUACGUAGGGCGCAAGCGUUGUCCGGAAUUAUUGGGCGUAAAGAGCUUGUAGGUGGCUUGUCGCGUCUGCCGUGAAAACCCGAGGCUCAACCUCGGGCGUGCGGUGGGUACGGGCAGGCUAGAGUGUGGUAGGGGAGACUGGAACUCCUGGUGUAGCGGUGAAAUGCGCAGAUAUCAGGAAGAACACCGAUGGCGAAGGCAGGUCUCUGGGCCAUUACUGACACUGAGAAGCGAAAGCAUGGGGAGCGAACAGGAUUAGAUACCCUGGUAGUCCAUGCCGUAAACGUUGGGCACUAGAUGUGGGGGACAUUCCACGUUUUCCGCGUCGUAGCUAACGCAUUAAGUGCCCCGCCUGGGGAGUACGGCCGCAAGGCUAAACUCAAGGAAUUGACGGGGGCCCGCACAAGCGGCGGAGCAUGCGGAUUAAUUCGAUGCAACGCGAAGAACCUUACCAAGGCUUGACAUGCACCGGGACGACUCCAGAGAUGGGGUUUUCUUCGGACUGGUGCACAGGUGGUGCAUGG
rnacentral:rRNA from 1 species